AGAGUUUGAUCAUGGCUCAGAUUGAACGCUGGCGGCAGGCCUAACACAUGCAAGUCGAACGGUAACAGGAAGAAGCUUGCUUCUUUGCUGACGAGUGGCGGACGGGUGAGUAAUGUCUGGGAAACUGCCUGAUGGAGGGGGAUAACUACUGGAAACGGUAGCUAAUACCGCAUAACGUCGCAAGACCAAAGAGGGGGACCUUCGGGCCUCUUGCCAUCGGAUGUGCCCAGAUGGGAUUAGCUUGUUGGUGGGGUAACGGCUCACCAAGGCGACGAUCCCUAGCUGGUCUGAGAGGAUGACCAGCCACACUGGAACUGAGACACGGUCCAGACUCCUACGGGAGGCAGCAGUGGGGAAUAUUGCACAAUGGGCGCAAGCCUGAUGCAGCGACGCCGCGUGCGGGAUGACGGCCUUCGGGUUGUAAACCGCUUUUGACUGGGAGCAAGCCCUUCGGGGUGAGUGUACCUUUCGAAUAAGCACCGGCUAACUACGUGCCAGCAGCCGCGGUAAUACGUAGGGUGCAAGCGUUAUCCGGAAUUAUUGGGCGUAAAGGGCUCGUAGGCGGUUCGUCGCGUCCGGUGUGAAAGUCCAUCGCUUAACGGUGGAUCCGCGCCGGGUACGGGCGGGCUUGAGUGCGGUAGGGGAGACUGGAAUUCCCGGUGUAACGGUGGAAUGUGUAGAUAUCGGGAAGAACACCAAUGGCGAAGGCAGGUCUCUGGGCCGUCACUGACGCUGAGGAGCGAAAGCGUGGGGAGCGAACAGGAUUAGAUACCCUGGUAGUCCACGCCGUAAACGGUGGAUGCUGGAUGUGGGGACCAUUCCACGGUCUCCGUGUCGGAGCCAACGCGUUAAGCAUCCCGCCUGGGGAGUACGGCCGCAAGGCUAAAACUCAAAGAAAUUGACGGGGGCCCGCACAAGCGGCGGAGCAUGCGGAUUAAUUCGAUGCAACGCGAAGAACCUUACCUGGGCUUGACAUGUUCCCGACAGCCCCAGAGAUGGGGCCUCCCUUCGGGGCGGGUUCACAGGUGGUGCAUGGUCGUCGUCAGCUCGUGUCGUGAGAUGUUGGGUUAAGUCCCGCAACGAGCGCAACCCUCGCCCCGUGUUGCCAGCGGAUUAUGCCGGGAACUCACGGGGGACCGCCGGGGUUAACUCGGAGGAAGGUGGGGAUGACGUCAGAUCAUCAUGCCCCUUACGUCCAGGGCUUCACGCAUGCUACAAUGGCCGGUACAACGGGAUGCGACCUCGUGAGGGGGAGCGGAUCCCUUAAAACCGGUCUCAGUUCGGAUUGGAGUCUGCAACCCGACUCCAUGAAGGCGGAGUCGCUAGUAAUCGCGGAUCAGCAACGCCGCGGUGAAUGCGUUCCCGGGCCUUGUACACACCGCCCGUCAAGUCAUGAAAGUGGGCAGCACCCGAAGCCGGUGGCCUAACCCCUUGUGGGAUGGAGCCGUCUAAGGUGAGGCUCGUGAUUGGGACUAAGUCGUAACAAGGUAGCCGUACCGGAAGGUGCGGCUG
rnacentral:rRNA from 1 species